AUUGUUUUGGCAGAAUUAAGUGCGAUAGAUUUAGGAUCUUUUAAUGUAAUUUUUUUACAUUCAAUA
rnacentral:tRNA from 1 species